rnacentral:rRNA from 1 species
AUUGAACGCUGGCGGCAUGCCUUACACAUGCAAGUCGAACGGCAGCACGGGUGCUUGCACCUGGUGGCGAGUGGCGAACGGGUGAGUAAUACAUCGGAACAUGUCCUGUAGUGGGGGAUAGCCCGGCGAAAGCCGGAUUAAUACCGCAUACGAUCUACGGAUGAAAGCGGGGGACCUUCGGGCCUCGCGCUAUAGGGUUGGCCGAUAGCUGAUUAGCUAGUUGGUGGGGUAAAGGCCUACCAAGGCGACGAUCAGUAGCUGGUCUGAGAGGACGACCAGCCACACGGGGACUGAGACACGGCCCAGACUCCUACGGGAGGCAGCAGUGGGGAAUUUUGGACAAGGGGCGAAAGCCUGAGCCAGCAAUGCCGCGUGUGUGAAGAAGGCCUUCGGGUUGUAAAGCACUUUUGUCCGGAAAGAAAUCCUUGGCUCUAAUACAGUCGGGGGAUGACGGUACCGGAAGAAUAAGCACCGGCUAACUACGU